UGGGGAAUAUUGGACAAUGGGCGCAAGCCUGAUCCAGCCAUGCCGCGUGUGUGAAGAAGGCCUUUUGGUUGUAAAGCACUUUAAGCGAGGAGGAGGCUACUUGGAUUAAUACUCUAGGAUAGUGGACGUUACUCGCAGAAUAAGCACCGGCUAACUCUGUGCCAGCAGCCGCGGUAAUACAGAGGGUGCGAGCGUUAAUCGGAUUUACUGGGCGUAAAGCGUGCGUAGGCGGCUUUUUAAGUCGGAUGUGAAAUCCCUGAGCUUAACUUAGGAAUUGCAUUCGAUACUGGGAAGCUAGAGUAUGUGAGAGGAUGGUAGAAUUCCAGGUUUAGCGGUGAAAUGCGUAGAGAUCUGGAGGAAUACCGAUGGCGAAGGCAGCCAUCUGGCCUAAUACUGACGCUGAGGUACGAAAGCAUGGGGAGCAAACAGG
rnacentral:rRNA from 1 species